GGAAGUGCCAUAGCUCAGUAAUAAAGCUUCUGCUUUGCAUGCAGAUGGUCCUAGGUUCAAUCCCCAUUAUCUUCA